GGAGAGGUGCCCGAGAGGCCCAAGGGAGCGGUUUGCUAAACCGUGACGCUCAAAAGGCGUCCGUGGGUUCGAUUCCCACCCUCUCCG
rnacentral:tRNA from 1 species